AUGGUGGAAGGCUCGACGAGCGACAUCAUUAACUUGAAGUUCCUCCUGCUAUGCUUCUAGCAGAUGUCUGGCCUCAGGAUCAACUUCGAUAAGAGUGCGGUAAUGGUCUUGGGAUACUCCCAAGAAGAACGGCAGAUCAUCGCGGAUCGGCUCAAUUGCCGGCUUGGGUGUUUCCCCAUGACUUAUCUGGGGAUCCCCAUUAGUGAUUCGAGGCUCACGGUGGCUAAGCUUCGCCCGACGGUUGGGAAGCUUGAACACCGCAUCGAGCCCUGGCAGGGCCGAUGGCUCUCGAAGGCGGCCCGGAUAGUGCUUAUCAACUCGUCCCUUGCUAGCCCGCUCUUAGUCAUCAUGAGCUUCUACAGCCUCCCUGAGACUCUGCAUCAUGAGAUUGCCACAGUUCAGGGGCGCUUCUUCUGGGCCGGCGAGGGCGAUAAGCAGAAAUACCACAUGGUUCGCUGGUCGGAGAACUGUAAACUGAGCGACCAGGGUGGUCUCGGGAUCAUGUCCUCCAAACGCAUGAACAUAGCCCUCCUGACGCGGUGGUUGUGGCGGAUUGCCAACGGAGAGGAUGGCUUGUGGCUU
rnacentral:rRNA from 1 species